rnacentral:tRNA from 1 species
AUUAAUUUAAUUAAAAAUAUUAAAAUGUCAAUUUAAAAAUACCAUUUAAGGUAUUCCUUG